GGUUACACUUAUUUACAAUGGUGGCUUUUAUUUAAAGUUGUUUACUUAAUAAUUAUCUCAGAUCAAGCCACUCACUGCAUAAAAAUAUUUUUUAAAAAGCACACAAAUGUAUUAAAUUCAGGUACAUAAAUAUGGACUCUUCUAAAAGUAGAACAGGUACUGAGAUGAUGUUAUGUUUAUUUUCCCCUGGGUAUCCUCGUUUUCACUCUUCAUUUAUUACCAUUUUAGCAAUUUCCAAGUUAUUUCAAUUGUUAUCUUGAAAGGGCUGGUGCCAAUUCCUAAGAAAGUCUUCAGGCAUUAUCUUCAAAGGCAUGCAGAAAAUGGCCAUCAAGAAAAGUUGUUCAAUUGGCAGUUAACAUUUAAAAACUGAAAUGGGCCGUGUGGCUCACAACGUGAAUCAGGCAAACAGCAGCAAGAGGUUUCCAUGAACAUGAAGCUGCCAGUCAUUGUGGAAGCAGACUGCAGGGGAAAAAAAUUAAAAAGUGAUCCAGAGCUCCACCCAUUUGCACCUAAAUCCUGGAGUAGGUGAUGAUCCUCCACAACCUGGCCCAGUGCAUGCCCCCAAACUAAAACAAACAAACUCAUUUGCCAUACAAAUUGUUUACGAUUCAUUAAAAAGCAAAAUUGCAUAUCCCGGUGCUGGCAGCUGAGGCCGAGUCUCCACGGGCGGAGGGGGCAUUCACUGAGUUGCCUUUGUAUGCUGGGAGGACCAAGCCGGAGGUUCCCACUAUGAGCCCGGAGUCUAAGCAGCCAGAUGACACAGGAGCUUCCAGGGUACCAGAAAAUACUGUCCAAGCUACCAAAAGAGGGAAGAAGUUAAUAGUCCUACCCAGCUGUGAUACCUACUAACCAUGGCAAUGACCAGAAUGGCAAGAUAUCCAUCAAGUCAACCAACAUGUGGGGUAAGUGGCACUCACAUGUUGGUGGUAACCAAAGACUGAUUGUACUUAAGCCUGUGUAUGUGAUGUCACUUUGCCUCAGGGCUUCCAAAAUCCACUGUCUUUGACUUUGACAACUCAAUUUUAAUUUCUCUCAUAUGUGUUUCUUUAGAUUAAUUUCAACUAGGGUCUUUUGCAAUCUGGAUGUCCAUUUCAUUCCACGGGUUUGGGAAUGGUUGGCCAUUAUCUAUUCGGACAAUCUUUUAUUAUCUGUUUCCUUUCUGUUCUAUCUCUCUCAUCUUUAUUUUUUAUUGUUUUUAGCACUAGGAAUUUAACAAAGAGCCUAAUCACCCCUUUCUUUUCUAACCUUUCUACUAUAUGUUACCCCCAAAUAUCUGUAGGUUUCCCACCUCCCCCCCUUUUUUGGUUUUUUUCAAGACAGGGUUUCUCUGUGUAGCUUUGGAUCCUAUUCUGGCACUGGCUCUGGAGACCAGACUGGCCUUGAACUCACAGAGAUCUGCCUGCCUCUGCCUCCCAAGUGCUGGGAUUAAAGGCGUGUACCACCAACACCCGGCUUCCCAUCCUAUUUUUAUGUUCAUUUUUAUUAUACUUCUGACUGGAUAAUGUCAAUGAGACACCUUUGUGUAGUUGACUCCUUUAGUGAAUGUAGUUACUAAUAAAAUCUCUGUCUUGUGACUUUUCAAUUCUCUUGUGUUCUUUAACUUCAAAAUUACUGCUUGGUUAUCAAAAAAAAAAAAAUUCAAGAGAAUUGAUAGUGCCAUCCUGUUGAUUAGUUUUUUUGUGAGUUGAUUGAAUAUCUAUAAGAUGGUCAUUUUGAAUUCUUAAUUUGGUAAUUCAUUUAACUCCAUUACUUGAAGUCAGGUUUUAGAGAUUUAUUUUUUUCCUAUGAUUGGGCCAUGUUUUCUCAUUUUUUUCUGUGUCUUCUACCUUUAUAUUUGGAGUUGUGUAUUUGAGAAACACAUGUCUCUAUACCUUUAUACUUCUCUGUACAAAUGAAGACUUUUGCAGUCAUCUGAGGUGAAGAUUCUGGAACCCUCUUAAGUUUUUUCAGGGAUACGUUUUCCAUGCUUGUUAUGUGUAACCCUGUCAGAAUUUUGCUGAUUUAGUCUUAAGUUUGUAGUCUUUUUCUCCCUCUAGUGUCAGUCUGUAGUAGUACAUGUUUUACAGUGCCUUGCCCUGGGGCCCCAGGCCAUCAAGGUACUAUUUCUCUAUCAGGAACCUGUGUUGGGUAAGCCAGAAACCAGUCUCUCUGAAGCUCCCUGAAGAGCUGGGAUUUUUCUGACACAUGUUCCAUUCAUCUCUUCCACUCCCAAAGCCACAAG
rnacentral:lncRNA from 1 species